UGGCGGCAUGCCAGCCUCUGGAUUGUUGUGAGGUGGAGCAGGAAUUCCACCAGGCCCAUUUGCCAACUACCCUCACCCCCUUCGGAGCCGAGCCUAUUCUGGACUAUAUGGAGAGGCCAUCCGUUGCUUUGGAGAGUGGGCCCUCUCCUCGGGACGGCACACAAGCACAUCAAAUUGACCAGUGAAGUCCGCUGUCAGCCGAGAUCGGCAAGCUUCUGUGUGUGCAGCCCCAGGUGUUCCUCAUGCCGUUCCUUAACCACGUCCCGAGUCUUGGGGGCCAAUUCCGGGUCCAAAUUUCUGUGCAGCUUGUCCGGGAAUGCUGGUUUAAGUCACCCCACAGUGUCCGUUGACCCUACAUGGCUCAUGGAGAAGAGAAUUUUGGAUGAACACACACGCUGCACUAAAUGUGAAAGCGGCAAACCCUUUGAGAUAAUGUUACCAGCAUCGCUAAGGCAGCCAGGGAGGAAUGCCCCAGUUGAACUGGCCAGUGGAACCCAUGAAGAAAAGGACCUGCACCUCCAAAUGUCGCCUAUUCUGCAUGAGCACCAUCAACUGGGGAGAGGCCUAAGGCCAGAAGGGUCUCCGACGUGGGACUGGCUGGACUGCUCGACGCUUCUUGGCAGCCUGGAGGCACAAGGACAUCAUUGCUAGGGGCUUGUCUAUGGACCUGAGAUGCUCUGCAUGCUGAUGGAAAUGCCAAACAAGAAACAGCCCGAACCAGCGGUGACAGACGGUGUAGAAGGCACUCAGUCUUCUUGGAAAGAACCAGCCCAUAAGAACAGGGAGAACCAGCCACCAGAAACACCCAUAAGCUUCAGUUCCCAGGAAAGGCUCAUAAUCCUAGUGAAACACAGCUUUGAUCAGAAACCAAGCUUUGGAAUAAAGAGAACAGAAGUGAAAAGCAUCAGUUUUAUAAUAAAGUAAAAAAAAAAAAAA
rnacentral:sRNA from 1 species